GCUGGCGGCGUGCUUAACACAUGCAAGUCGCACGAGAAAGGGGAUCUUCGGGUUCCCGAGUAAAGUGGCGCACGGGUGAGUAACGCGUAGGUAACCUGCCCUUGUGUUCGGGAUAACACCUCGAAAGGGGUGCUAAUACCGGAUGAGACUGUGAGACGGGAGUUUCAUAGUGAAAGGUAGCCUCUUCAACUGAAAGCUAUCGCACGAGGAGGGGCCUGCGUCCUAUCAGCUAGUUGGUAGGGUAACGGCCUACCAAGGCUUCGACGGGUAGCUGGUCUGAGAGGAUGAUCAGCCACACUGGCACUGGAACACGGGCCAGACUCCUACGGGAGGCAGCAGUGAGGAAUUUUGCGCAAUGGGAGCAAUCCUGACGCAGCAACGCCGCGUGGGUGAUGAAGGCCUUCGGGUCGUAAAGCCCUGUCGGGUGGGAAGAACAUCUCUAUGUUGAAUAGAUGUGGAGAGUGACGGUACCACCAGAGGAAGCACCGGCUAACUCCGUGCCAGCAGCCGCGGUAA
rnacentral:rRNA from 1 species